GACCUCAAAUCAGGUAAGAAUACCCGCUGAACUUAAGCAUAUCAAUAAGCGGAGGAAAAGAAAAUAACAAUGAUUCCUUCAGUAACGGCGAGCGAAGAGGGAUAAGCUCAAAUUUUAAAUCUGUUGGGUUCCACUUAACAGAGUUGUAUUUUGAAGAAACGUUUUCUGCAUCCAGGAUUAGCCUAAAUCCUUUGGGAUAAGGUAUCAUGGAGGGUGAGAAUCCCGUUCAUGGUUAAUCUUAAGGAAGCUCUACGAUACGUUUUCCAAGAGUCGAGUUGUUUGGGAUUGCAGCUCAAAAUGGGAGGUAAAUUUCUCCUAAGGCUAAAUAUUGGCGAGAGACCGAUAGCGAACAAGUACCGUGAGGGAGAGAUGAAAAGAACUUUGAAAAGAGAGUUAAACAGUACGUGAAAUUGUUGAAAGGGAAACGAUUGAAG
rnacentral:rRNA from 1 species